rnacentral:rRNA from 1 species
AACGAACGCUGGCGGCGUGGAUAAGACAUGCAAGUCGAACGGGAUUUUUUUCUGUAGCAAUACAGAGAAAAGUCUAGUGGCGAACGGGUGCGUAACACGUGAGCAACCUGCCGUGAAGUGGGGGAUAGCUCGCCGAAAGGCGAAUUAAUACCGCAUGUGGCCAAGGAAGACAUCUUCCUGACGCCAAAGCCGGGGCAACCUGGCGCUUCUCGAGGGGCUCGCGGCCUAUCAGCUUGUUGGUGAGGUAACGGCUCACCAAGGCUAUGACGGGUAGCUGGUCUGAGAGGACGACCAGCCACACUGGAACUGAGACACGGUCCAGACACCUACGGGUGGCAGCAGUCGAGAAUUUUUCACAAUGGGGGAAACCCUGAUGGAGCGACGCCGCGUGGAGGAUGAAGGUUUUCGGAUUGUAAACUCCUGUCAUUAGAGAACAAGGCACACGGUUUAACUGGCCGUGUGUUGAUAGUAUCUGAAGAGGAAGAGACGGCUAACUCUGUGCCAGCAGCCGCCGUAA